UACGUAGGGAGCGAGCGUUGUCCGGAAUUACUGGGCGUAAAGGGCGCGUAGGUGGGCAUUUAAGUCAGAUGUGAAAACUAUGGGCUCAACCUGUAGACUGCAUUUGAAACUGGGUAUCUUGAGGGCUGGAGAGGAAAGUGGAAUUCCUAGUGUAGCGGUGAAAUGCGUAGAUAUUAGGAGGAACACCAGUGGCGAAGGCGACUUUCUGGACUGUACCUGACACUGAGGCGCGAAAGCGUGGGGAGCGAACGGG
rnacentral:rRNA from 1 species